rnacentral:rRNA from 1 species
UACGGGGGGGGCAAGCGUUGUUCGGAAUUACUGGGCGUAAAGGGCUCGUAGGCGGCCAACUAAGUCGGGUGUGAAAUCCCCGGGCUCAACCUGGGAAUUGCAUUCGAUACUGGAUAGCUAGAGUUCGGCAGAGGGAAGCGGAAUUUCGGGUGUAGCGGUGAAAUGCGUAGAUAUCCGAAGGAACAUCAGUGGCGAAAGCGGCUUCCUGGACCAGAACUGACGAUCAGGCACGAAAGCGUGGGGAGCAAACAGG